rnacentral:rRNA from 1 species
AGUGAACGCUGGCGGUAGGCCUAACACAUGCAAGUCGAACGGCAGCACAGGAGAGCUUGCUCUCUGGGUGUCGAGUGGCGGACGGGUGAGGACUACAUCGGAAUCUACUCUGUCGUGGGGGAUAACGUAGGGAAACUUACGCUAAUACCGCAUACGACCUACUGGUGAAAGCAUGGGAUCUUCGGACCGUGCGCGACUGGAUGAGCCGAUGUCGGAUUAGCUCGUUGGCGGGGUAAAGGCCCACCAAGGCGACGAUCCGUAGCUGGUCUGAGAGGAUGAUCAGCCACACUGGAAAUGAGACACGGUCCAGACUCCUACGGGAGGCAGCAGUGGGGAAUAUUGGACAAUGGGCGCAAGCCUGAUCCAGCCAUACCGCGUGGGUGAAGAAGGCCUUCGGGUUGUAAAGCCCUUUUGUUGGUAAAGAAAUCCAGCUGGCUAAUACCCGGUUGGGAUGACGGUACCCAAAGAAUAAGCACCGGCUAACUUCGUGCCAGCCGCCGCAGUAA